rnacentral:rRNA from 1 species
CGUGCCAGCAGCCGCGGUAAUACGUAGGGUGCGAGCGUUAAUCGGAAUUACUGGGCGUAAAGCGUGCGCAGGCGGCUUUGCAAGACAGAUGUGAAAUCCCCGGGCUCAACCUGGGAACUGCAUUUGUGACUGCAAGGCUAGAGUACGGUAGAGGGGGAUGGAAUUCCGCGUGUAGCAGUGAAAUGC